rnacentral:rRNA from 1 species
UACAGAGGGGGCGAGCGUUGUUCGGAAUUACUGGGCGUAAAGGGCGCGUAGGCGGCCUUCUAAGUCGAACGUGAAAUCCCCGGACUCAACCCGGGAACUGCGUCCGAUACUGGAAGGCUUGAAUCCGGGAGAGGGAUGCGGAAUUCCAGGUGUAGCGGUGAAAUGCGUAGAUAUCGUCAAGAACACCGAUAGUGUAGACAGCUUACUAGGCUACAACUGACGCUGAGGCACGAAAGUGUGGGGAUCAAACAGG